rnacentral:tRNA from 1 species
GCCCUCUUAGCUCAGUUGGUAGAGCGACCGCCUUGUAAGCGGUAGGUCGGUGGUUCGAGUCCGCCAGAAGGCU